rnacentral:rRNA from 1 species
UUUCAGGACUCAAUUGUGUACGCGAAAGCAGCUAAGACACAACCGUAUGCAACCAGAGGAAGCACAGGGGUCAAAGUGCCCUGCAAUACACGUGAUUUAUGAGCCCUUAGUGAAACGCAAUUAAGCAGACAGAUCACUCCACGAACUAAGAACGGCCAUGCACCACCUAUCACAUAAUCAUGAAAGGACUAGCAUAUUUAACAUAAAAGGCGAACCUUUUAAUAUUGCCUGUCAAUCCUCAGUGUGUCCGGACCCGGUAAGAUUUCCCGCGUUGGGUCAAAUUAAGCCACAUGCUCCACGCGUUCUUGUGGUGCCCUUCCGUCAAUUCCUUCAAGUUUCACACGUGCGU